UUGAUCCUUCUCCAAAAGUAACAUCUAAAGUCCUUUCUAUCAACCUAAAAGUAGAUAAACUUUUAAAGCAUGUCAAACGAACCAUUGGUGAAAAGAAAAGGAAAAUAUCGUAAAUAUUUCUCAUCUCUCUUUUCCUCUCAGUGUCUAUAUAUGACAGAACGAAAACAUUCAACGAAAUCUUGAGCCGAAGAAACAAAAGGGAUACAGGCCAUUUGCAGGUAAUCUGUUUGUUUCGGCAUUUCUGACCGAGAAAAAACCGUAGCGCAAUGACCAAAUGUUCGCAUAUGUACGAUGCGCACACCAAGGAGCUGGACAGAGCUGGAUUAAUCGGAUUAAGUUGGUUGGCAGCUGUUGUUCGGACGCUCUGGCGAGUUUGUUUUGAGAUCUAACAAACUAACUAAUGUGAUCUUACUCUGAUUGUUUGAUCAAAAAUAUUAAACUAAAAUAAACAUGCUCAAACUGUA